CUUGGUUCGGCUUCCUUGCUCCUCAGCUUACAGAUGGCCUAUUGUGGGACUUCACCUUGUGAUGGUGUGAGUGAAUUCUCCUAAUAAACUCCCCUCCAUAUACUCAUCUGUCCUGUGAGUCCUGUCCCUUUAGGGAUCCCUGAAUAAUACAACCACUGUCUUAUGAAGGCCGGAUCAUGUCACGGAUGUGACGUUUGUAACACCUCUGAGCCGCUCAAGAAAUGUAGACUCUUCCUUUUAAACCUCCACCCACCCGUGUCCCCCUUCAGGUGUGGGCUCAGAAAUCACACAAUGAAGGCAGACUCUGAAUUUGGAAAGUAAACUUUCUUAUCCUCACGGGCUAGAUUUUUACAUUGUAAAAUAAGAAAGAAAAUCUGUUUUGAUUAAACUGAUGUCUUGAUGUUGAAGCGAAAGAGAUGCUGUGGCCGCGUCCCUGUGGCCAGUGCCGCCUUCUUGUCUCUCGUGAGCACAGUUCCGUGCCGCCUUCUUCACAGACAUCCCCUCUGCCCUCGGAUACAGCUUUUCUUUUAAGGUAUGCUUGAAUUUUAAACGGAAAAUAACCUUUGGUUUGUUAGAGACACACGGAUGUUAGUUCAGGCACACGUUUGGAGUUGAAGCCAAGUUGGGUCUGACUGGUGUGAGCUGAAUGCUUCAGUGUUCAGGGUCCGGCUUUGUGGAGACCCUGUUGGGGUGAUGGGCUCCCGUCGGGACUCACGCAUGGUUCAGCUGUUACUUUUUUGGCUUUGUUUUGUCUUUUUCACCAAGUCCAUUUCUUCCAUCCCUGACCCUGGCUACAGUGGAGUUGCAGGAAAGAGGUGGAGGAGCCUGGGCUCGACUGCGGCUGGUGGGGCAGCCUCGGGGUCACGGCGCAGGGAGGCGUCCGGGGCGGACGGAGCAGGAAACAUUUCUCCAUGUGCAGGUUUCUCUGGGGUCCGCUGUCAGCUUUAUUGUCUCCUCACUUGAUGCUGCCUCUGAAUUUAUCCUACUUUUCCUCAUCUUAAACUGUGAUCUCUGAUUAUUUUCCAAAAGCCCCAGCAUGUCUCCUUUAGACCCAUUUGCUCUGGGCAUUCCUCCGCAGUGCUGCCGCGCUCACACUCCGGACUCUGAGCCAGCCCAAGCGUUUCCUUCCCGGGCUGUGGCCUCCUCUCCCUGACUUGUCACCUGCAACUCCCAGAGCCUGAGCGGGAACUGUGGCGCCCUCCUGCAAGCUCAUCCUCCACCUCCUCAGCCUCCCCACCCCUCUCUGUUCCUUAUUUCACUUCUGCAGAUUGUACUUUUUUUUUUUUUUUUUUUUUUUUUUUUUAACCAGUUUCUGUGUCUCAAAUGCCCCCGAGUCUAACCUUCCAUCCAGCUCCCGCUGGUCUCACUGUGAUGCCCACACGCCCUCCCCGCGUCCCCUGCAAUCUCACCUGUCCUGUGCCCGGGCACUCGUACAGCCUGGCACAGAGGCAGAGAGGCCAGAGCCUGUCGUCCUGUAGAGUUGGAGUCACAUCUGUGCCUGCUGAGGCCCCCUUCUGUUCUUAGAAGCCCUUGACACAGCUGUGGGUGCCCCAUGCUCUCCCAUUUGCUGCCUUAGGGGAUCCCCCAAAUUGCGAAAAUGUUUACGUACUCAUUUAGUUCAAAAUACUUUUGAAAUUCUCUUUUGAUUUUUGUCAUUGAUUCAUGGGUUGUCGAAAGUUAGUGUGCUGUUUGGUUUUCAAAUAUUUGAGGUCUUUCUUAAAAUCUUUCUUUUAUUGAUUUCCAGUUUAAUACCGCAUGGACAGAGGAAAUACUUUACGUGGCUUGAAUGGAUUGCUUUUGCUUUGAGUUCUGUGUCCACCUGAAAAGAAUGCAGACUCUGCUGUUGGCGGCACAGGAUCUGAGAAACAUGUCGCGUUGGUUGGGAGUGUCCUUGAGUCUUCCGCAUCCUUAUGUGGUGUGUGUUUGUCUUUUCCAGGAUUGAGGGCGGCAUUGAAAUCUCUGAUCAUACCUCUAGGUUUUCUCUUUUCCUUGUAAUUCUAUCAGUUUUUUCUUUUAUUUUGAAGCUACUUUAUUAGGUUAGGAUUAUUACGUCCUCUUAAUGAGUAGACACCUUUAUUGUAAUGACAUGGUGGUCUUUAUUCCCGGGAAUACUUUUUGCUUUGAAAUAUACUUUGUCGGAAAUUAAUGUAGCCACUCUAGCUUUCUUUUGUUAGUGUUAGGAUAGUAUAUCUUUUAAAAUUAUUUUUUUAAACCUAUCUGAGUCUCCUUGUUUGAAGUGCAUUUCUUAUAGGCUGUAUGUAGUUGCAUCUUGAUCUUUUAUCCAAUUUGACUAUGUCUGCAUUUUAAUGUGUAGGUUUAGACCAUUCAUAUUUAAUGUGAUUAUUAAUGUGAUUAUGUUUAAAACUCUGUCUUGCUUAUUCAUUUUCUAUUUGCUCCUUCUGAUCUUUCUUUUCUUUUUAUUUUUCUGCUUUCUUUUGACUCCAUUAGAUAUUUUCUGUAUUUCCAUUUAUCAUCUUUUUUUUUUUUUUUUUUUGGCUUCUUAGGUGUAACUCUUUGUUUAGUUAAUCUGAGGUUUCCUUAAUUUAAAGUAUAAAGCCUUAACCAUGGUAUUCUACCGUUGAGUGAUAGGAUGCCACUUCAUCUUACAAUAGCAAACUUCCAUUUCUCCUCUCCAGGCUGGGUGCUAUUACUGUCAUGCGUUUUACUUUUACGGUGUUAUGAUCUAAUUGUUUGUUUUCUGCCCCCCAAAUUCAUAUGUUGAAAGCCUCUCUCCUAAGAUGAUGGUGUUCAGAGGUGGGACCAUCAGGAGAUGAUGAGGUCAUGAGGGAAGAACCUCAUGACAGGAAUUAAUGCCCCCAUAAAAGAGACCUCAGGGCACUUGUUGGCACUUUCCACCAUGUGAGGGGCAGUGAGAAGGCACUGUCUAUGAGGAGGAGGCCCUCACCAGACACUGCCAGCACCUUCAUCCUGGACCUCCACCCUCCAGAACGAUAAGGAAACCGAGGCACAAAGAAGUUAAAAUGCCGAACAAAAGCACACAGUGGGUAAGUGGACCUGCAAGGCUUUGCACCUCAUCGAUCUGACUUCAGAUUCCAUCUUCGUCAGCACGGUGUCCGCCUCCACACCACAAAGCUGUAGCUGUAUAAGGACAGAAGAGGGAAGUGGGUUCUGCUACCACCAGCGAGCACUGGGAAGCAUCUUGAAGAAAAGCGGGGUGAGCUCUGUGGAGCCUUUCGGGGCAAAUUCAAGAGCAGAAGCCGUAUCUUUCUUACUAUGGACACUCGGGAACUGGAGAAAGGUUUCCUUCUCAAAUUUAUUGACUAGAACUCAGUUCUAAAUCAGCAUUUCAAAAAAGUUUCUUAUUUCUAUGAGAGGUAAUAUAUAUUAUAUUUCUAUUAAUGUGGCAUUAAUGCUUGUUUUUUUUCUUUUUUAGUCCCUGAGUGGUUUCAAAUGUGUGUUUUCAUGUACAAUUUAUAGUUCUGAAGAGUGUGUCAUUUCCAGAUAUUUCCUGACUGUCUCAUCAAUGCCCACAUCAUAAAAGUUAAUUUCAUGCCUAAGGAAUCUACACUGCCUUCCUUUUGGAAAAUGUUCUGCAGAUUCUAGCAAAGUCAACAGCCAAACCGUGAAUGUAAAGGCCGCCGUACAGACUACAGAAGCAGGCAGCUUGCCAUUGCCACGCUACCUUCUUUACAUUCAAGUGAUUUAUAUAAGAGCCAAAAAAAUGUACUUCACAUAGUAUUGGUCUUUCGCUGCCAUGCAGGGAUGAGCUGUCCAGAUGAUAAAUUAAGACAAUGAGAAAAUAAGGGAUUGGCUUCAAGAUUUGUGGUUGCCGACGGAAUUUCUUCAACAGAAAGGGAAGGAAACUGAAGUACGGAACUGGUGGGAUAUUAUUAUUUUUACUGUAAACCAUCCGAGCCUGUCAGGCCUAUAACUUCCAAAUGCAAUGUAUUAUGAUCUACCGUGUAAAACAAAAAGAUUCUGAACUUGAGUCAGUAAUAGCUGGUUUAUUCCAGGAUUCAAAUGUGAGUAACGUACCUCUCACCAACAGUAGUCAAAAUGAGAAGCCCGCUAUGCUGUGGAUUUAUGGCUCAUGGACUCUGGAUAAGUACUGCAUUUAAGUUAGUGGAGUGACAAAUAAUUGAAUUGGAAAAUCACGGCAUCCAGAAUGGAACUGCAUAAAAAUCUACUGGAGAGUUUCUGAAAAGAUGAAGAUUUCUGGGCCCUUAUCCCAGACUUUCUAUUUCAGGGGUCCCUGGAAGAGCCUGCAGGUUUGGCUUUUCCAUCUCAGGACUCUGUUGCAGGGUCUCUGCGUCCUGUCGCCUGGAGGUGCGCACUGACUAUGUGCAGAUAAGCCGCCGUCCCAUUGACCGCCCAACCCUCGGCUGCCUGUGCUCUGGGUCUCCACUCACUUGACCAGCAAGACUCACAUCCGGCAGUAAGGACUCCACCGGGAUGGGAACCCAGUGCUUAUUCUCGAACUCAGCAAUCCAGCGGUGCACCUGGCUCUGUUUCCAGCCUGGCCAAUGAUAUUCUAACCACGAAUUAUUACAUAUUACUAAUUAUUAAAUAUCAAAUGUAAUAUCU